UUUUAAUUAAUCUAGGAAUAGAGCUAAUCUAUGUUUUGUAAAUCUAGGUUUAUAAUUAACCAGAGAUGUGUGGCACCACUUCAUUUUAAAUCUGGCUCAGUAAAUCUAUAAUUAACGGUUUUAAACUAUGAUUAGUGACGUGUUGCACCAAUAUAUGAGUUUUUUAUUGAGUUGAAACGAAGUAGAUGGGCCAUUUUAUGCGACACAUUUAAUGGAUCGACACGGAUGAAAGAAAAAAGGAACCCAAAUGAAAUGAAGGUGUGCUGGAAAAACGAAAAGCGAAAGCGAAAGCAAAAAAAGGAUGCAGCAGAGGCGAGUGCUCUUUCAGACCGGAAGGGGCCUCCAAGGCUAUUGAUCCUCUCUCCCAGAAGAUUUGAGAGAUGAUUCCCCAGCAGUUUGUCCCUCUCCUUAACUCUUAUGAUGACGACGGACAACUCGGCCCACCAAUAUUUAGUCAACAUAAAUAACUGGGACUCCUGAAACAACCAGCAAACCAGGCUGUCGUGAUGUGAAUCAGUGGAUGUAAAGAAUCUAGCUAGCUAAAGCAUUUACUGCAAAUUGAAUGUACAAUUUUGGAAGCUUGCCUUGCUGAUAUUUGCCAUGCAAUGUGUUGGAUCCUGUGUUUUACAUUAUAGCCAUUACCAUAUAUAUGAUUGAAUAUUAUCUGCUGUUGGCUUGAGUGGAUGGAUGUAUGUAUGUGUUAUUUUUUUAUUUAUUUUUUUAUUUCACCUUUAUUUAACCAGGUAGGCUAGUUGAGAACAAGUUCUCAUUUGCAACUGCGACCUGGCCAAGAUAAAGCAUAGCAGUGUGAACAGACAACACAGAGUUACACAUGGAGUAAACAAUUUAGCAAGUCAAUAACACAGUAGAAAAAAUGGGCAGUCUAUAUACAAUGUGUGCAAAAGGCAUGAGGAGGUAGGCGAAUAAUACAAUUUUGCAGAUUAACACUGGUGAUAAAUGAUCAGAUGGGCAUGUACAGGUAGAGAUAUUGGUGUGCAAAAGAGCAGAAAAGUAAAUAAAUAAAAACAGUAUAAAAACAGUAUGGGAAUGAGGUAGGUGAAAAAGGGUGAGCUAUUUACCAAUAGACUAUGUACAGCUGCAGCGAUCGGUUAGCUGCUCGGAUAGCUGAUGUUUGAAGUUGGUGAGGGAGAUAAAAGUCUCCAACUUCAGCGAUUUUUGCAAUUCGUUCCAGUCACAGGCAGCAGAGUACUGGAACGAAAGGCGGCCAAAUGAGGUGUUGGCUUUAGGGAUGAUCAGUGAGAUACACCUGCUGGAGCGCGUGCUACGGAUGGGUGUUGCCAUCGUGACCAGUGAACUGAGAUAAGGCGGAGCUUUACCUAGCAUGGACUUGUAGAUGACCUGGAGCCAGUGGGUCUGGCGACGAAUAUGUAGUGAGGGCCAGCCGACUAGAGCAUACAAGUCGCAGUGGUGGGUGGUAUAAGGUGCUUUAGUGACAAAACGGAUGGCACUGUGAUAGACUGCAUCCAGUUUGCUGAGUAGAGUGUUGGAAGCCAUUUUGUAGAUGACAUCGCCGAAGUCGAGGAUCGGUAGGAUAGUCAGUUUUACUAGGGUAAGCUUGGCAGCGUGAGUGAAGGAGGCUUUGUUGCGGAAUAGAAAGCCGACUCUGGAUUUGAUUUUUGAUUAUGCAACAUAGCUGACUUGAAACAUUGUUAAAAGUAUCAGGGCCAUGGGACUUUCUCAUGAUGGAAAAAUACAGAGAAGCAUGAAGACAGUAACUGUUCAAAUUAGUUGGGAGGGGGGCACAUUCAGAGCGGGGUGUUGCGAGAACAAGCGGUCUUUUGUUAGAUAACAGGAGCCAGGUGCGAGAUAACGGUAUGGAGCAUGCGAGCCUGGAUGUUCUUCACAAGCAACAUUUACAUCUAUCAACAGAAGCGCCAAGAGGCGGGGACCCGCCUGAGCGCCUGCAAUAGGCUGAGCAAGUUUAAACCAUGCCCAGUCUCUACUGUGAUAGGCCAACAGACGGGUUGGAACUGUCUAUCACAGUAUAAAGAAUACUGUUUUACAUACAUCUUGUCUGUUCCCUGUUCUGCCCUGCGUGGUAUUACAGUGAGCCCGUAUAUACGAAAGUUGCAUUUGCCAUUUAUUACUUAGCUAAUAAAAAAUACAUAGUAUAAAAUCGGUGACUCAUUGUUAUAUUUAUCCUGAUACCAGAUUCGAAUUUACGCAACUCUAACAAAUGCAGAAAGAUGAAGUAACGUAGUUAUGUUCUUGCUUAUUGUGCAGUGGAGGAUACAAAUACCUGUAUUGUAGCCUGUACAUUUAAUAUAUUCACUGAUCAUGUAUUCUACCUUGGCAAAUAAAGGUGCAGUUCAGGUA